rnacentral:misc_RNA from 1 species
GAUGAAGAACGUAGCGAAAUGCGAUAAGUAAUGUGAAUUGCAGAAUACAGUGAAUCAUCGAAUCUUUGAACGCACAUUGCGCCCGCCAGUAUUCUGGCGGGCAUGCCUGUUCGAGCGUCAUUACAACCCUCAGGCCCCCGGGCCUGGCGUUGGGGAUCGGCGGAGCCCCCCGUGGGCACACGCCGUCCCCCAAAUGCAGUGGCGGUCCCGCCGCAGCUUCCAUCGCGUAGUAGCUAACACCUCGCGACUGGAGAGCGGCGCGGCCACGCCGUAAAACACCCAACUCUUCUGAAGUUGACCUCGAAUCAGGUAGGAAUACCCGCUGAACUUAAGCAUAUCAAUAAGCGGAGGA